UCAGGUUAGGAACAUACUGGACCUUCAGGUUAGGAACAUACUGGACCUUCAGGUUUGGAACAUACUGGACCUUCAGGUUUGGAACAUUCUGGACCUUCAGGUUAGGAACUUACUGGACCUUCAGGUUAGGAACUUACUGGACCUUCAGGUUAGGAACAUACUGGACCUUCAGGUUAGGAACUUACUGGACCUUCAGGUUAGGAACAUACUGGACCUUCAGGUUAGGAACAUACUGGACCUUCAGGUUAGGAACAUACUGGACCUUCAGGUUAGGAACAUACUGGACCUUCAGGUUUGGAACAUACUGGACCUUCAUGUUAGGAACAUACUGGACCUUCAGGUUUGGAACAUACUGGACCUUCAGGUUUGGAACAUACUGGACCUUCAGGUUUGGAACAUACUGGACCUUCAGGUUAGGAACAUACUGGACCUUCAGGUUAGGAACAUACUGGACCUUCAGGUUAGGAACAUACUGGACCUUCAGGUUAGGAACAUACUGGACCUUCAGGUUUGGAACAUACUGGACCUUCAGGUUUGGAACAUACUGGACCUUCAGGUUUGGAACAUACUGGACCUUCAGGUUUGGAACAUACUGG